CGAUCCGCGUCGGUCGUGCGAGGGUGGUAUGGUUCCCCCAGAGGCCGGUUCUUGUGCUGCCUACCCCUUNAGGGGAAUCGGGCCACUCGAUGUAAGCCUCCAUCCGGCGCCUUCCAACGGGCGCAGGAGGACAACAGGGCACCCCCCGCGUUCCACCGAGCCUCCUCGGUCGCGUGGCCCGCGGGGACGUGCGACGCUCNCGGACCCAGCGAACGCCGUGGGCGAGGACUCACGUCCCAGUCCCGAAAAGAAGCUCCGAUAUAAUGCAAGACGGCCGCUCCCGCCCCCCCGGGGGCGAGGCGCGGCGUCGCAGAGGAAUGCUACCUGGUUGAUC
rnacentral:misc_RNA from 1 species